CAUUCUGUUGCUACAACCCAUCUGGGGGAUCGCUCGGCUCGAGUACCGAAGAAGGUCGUGACAAGCUGCGAUAAGCUGCGG
rnacentral:rRNA from 1 species